rnacentral:lncRNA from 1 species
UCUAAAGCCUUAAUUUCAUUAACUAUUGCAUCAUGUCAGUAAGCAUGUUUCAUUAUUGAGGAGAAGUACUUGGAUUCUUGAGAUGAGGAAAUAGAAGCUAGAACUGCAUGGUGAGAGCAAACUUAUGAAAGAAAAAAUAAUUUUAGCUUGACAUUUAGUACCCAUCACAGGACUAUUUUGAUGUGGGCAAGUAAAGGAUGAAACUUGAAAACAUCAAAAUCUUAAAGCUAUUGGAGAGGACAUCAGAUCCUUGUGGAGAAUUUUGGAUUCAGAUCGAGGGAUGUUGUUUCAUAAGAAUCCUGAUUAAGAGUGAAAGAAGGUCGAAUAGAUGAAGAUGGAAGGUUAAGAGAAUGGGUUCAUCACCAUUAUCAAUAAUGUGAGGAAGCAUUGGAGAUUGGGAAG